rnacentral:rRNA from 1 species
CCUACGGGUGGCAGCAGUGAGGAAUAUUGGUCAAUGGGCGAAAGCCUGACGCAGCGACGCCGCGUGAGGGAUGAAGGUCUUCGGAUCGUAAACCUCUGUCAGCAGGGAAGAACGGUCACUGUGCUAAUCAGCAGUGAAUUGACGGUACCUGCAAAGGAAGCACCGGCUAACUCCGUGCCAGCAGCCGCGGUAAUACGGAGGGUGCGAGCGUUAAUCGGAAUUACUGGGCGUAAAGCGCUCGUAGGCGGUAUGUCAAGUCAAGGGUGAAAUCCCCGCGCUCAACGUGGGAACUGCCUUUGAAACUGGCAAACUGGAGUGUGUUAGAGGAUAGUGGAAUUCCAGGUGUAGGAGUGAAAUGCGUAGAUAUCUGGAGGAACAUCAGUGGCGAAGGCGACUAUCUGGCACAUAACUGACGCUGAGGAGCGAAAGCGUGGGUAGCAAACAGGAUUAGAUACCCGGGUAGUC